GACGAACGCUGGCGGCGUGCUUAACACAUGCAAGUCGAACGGAAAGGCCCUGCUUUUGUGGGGUGCUCGAGUGGCGAACGGGUGAGUAACACGUGAGUAACCUGCCCUUGACUUUGGGAUAACUUCAGGAAACUGGGGCUAAUACCGGAUAGGAGCUCCUGCUGCAUGGUGGGGGUUGGAAAGUUUCGGCGGUUGGGGAUGGACUCGCGGCUUAUCAGCUUGUUGGUGGGGUAGUGGCUUACCAAGGCUUUGACGGAUAGCCGGCCUGAGAGGGUGAUCGGCCACAUUGGGACUGAGAUACGGCCCAGACUCCUACGGGAGGCAGCAGUGGGGAAUAUUGCACAAUGGGCGGAAGCCUGAUGCAGCAACGCCGCGUGCGGGAUGACGGCCUUCGGGUUGUAAACCGCUUUCGCCUGUGACGAAGCGUGAGUGACGGUAAUGGGUAAAGAAGCACCGGCUAACUACGUG
rnacentral:rRNA from 1 species